rnacentral:rRNA from 1 species
GUCUAUGGCCAUGCCACCCUGAACAUGCCCGAUCUCGUCUGAUCUCAGAAGCUAAGCAGGGUCGGGCCUGGUUAGUACUUGGAUGGGAGACUACCUAGGAAUACCAGUUGCUGUAGGCA